rnacentral:rRNA from 1 species
GCUACMCAUGCAAGUCGAGCGGCAGCGGGAAAGUAGCUUGCUACUUUUGCCGGCGAGCGGCGGACGGGUGAGUAAUGCCUGGGGAUCUGCCCAGUCGAGGGGGAUAACUACUGGAAACGGUAGCUAAUACCGCAUACGCCCUACGGGGGAAAGCAGGGGACCUUCGGGCCUUGCGCGAUUGGAUGAACCCAGGUGGGAUUAGCUAGUUGGUGAGGUAAUGGCUCACCAAGGCGACGAUCCCUAGCUGGUCUGAGAGGAUGAUCAGCCACACUGGAACUGAGACACGGUCCAGACUCCUACGGGAGGCAGCAGUGGGGAAUAUUGCACAAUGGGGGAAACCCUGAUGCAGCCMUGCCGCGUGUGUGAAGAAGGCCUUCGGGUUGUAAAGCACUUUCAGCGAGGAGGAAAGGUUGGUAGCUAAUAACUGCCAGCUGUGAYGUUACUCGCAGAAGAAGCACCGGCUAACUCCGUGCCARCAGCCGCGGUAAUACGGAGGGUGCAMGCGUUWAUCGGAAUUKCUGGRAGMAUAWCGACGRGGGGGUUAGAUAGRUAUAUGUGAAASCCCCGGGCACAACCUAGGA